rnacentral:rRNA from 1 species
AUGGCGUUGAUGGGACUCCACACCCGACUAUUUGUUUCCGCUGUGACUUAUGAGGUGAUGAAUGAAGAAGGACUGAUAUUCUCUGGACCGAUGACUCAGCCGAAGGCAGAGCUAUGGAUUAAAAACAUGGAGGAUCACUUCGNNNNNNNNNNAAAAAAAAUGAUUUCAAGGAAGUAUGAGGUUCAAGAUGCUAUUCAGUAUUUUACCGACAGUGCUGCAACCUGGUGGAAAAUGCAUCAAGCCAUACAAGGAUGCAACGGAGCAAAAACUUGGGAGGAAUUCAAGAAGACUCUGUUGAGAUCUCGUCUUAUUCGGAAGAACUAUGAUAACCCGAAGAAGAAACCUUGUGCCUGCAAGAUUUGCGGAGAAAUAGGACACACCCAGGAGGAACACAAGGAUGGAUGCCCUCAUUGUGCGGAGAAUCAUCCAGAUGAAGAAUGCCCCACUAGGCAGGUGACUUGCUUGUUGUGUGAAGGAACUACACACGACCCUGGUCAGUGUCAUAUUUACCCCAAGGUACAAGAAAUUACCAAGCAACAGAAAGAAGCCAUGAAAGAAACCCUCAGGGAAAAUUCAGAAGAACCUGUGAUGAAGGAAGUUAUUGAAGACCCUGAUGGUGAAGGCCUAAACAGAUUUUCGCCCAAGCCUGCUAUACAUGUGGAGAAGAAGGACAAUUUUCAGAGUAUUGCACGAAGGAAAGCCAAGAGUAUCUCAGAGACUUCCCGGCAGCAGAUGUAA